CCCUUAGAUGUCCUGCGCCGCACGCGCGCUACAAUGAGCAGAUCAAUGGGUACUUCCUUAGUCGAAAGGCUUGGGUAAUCCUGAAAACCUGCUCGUGAUGGGGCUAGAUUAUUGCAAUUAUUAAUCUUCAACGAGGAAUGCCUAGUAAACGCACGUCAUCAUCGUGCAUUGAAUACAUCCCUGCCCUUUGUACACACCGCCCGUCGCGUCUACCGAUGAAUUCUGCGGUGAGAUCUCGGGAGUCUUUUUAAGUUAUCUUCUUCGGGAGAAAACUUUUAAGGACAAACCUGCUCAAACCUUAGCAUUUAGAGGAAGAUGAAGUCGUAACA
rnacentral:rRNA from 1 species